UACAGAGGUCUCGAGCGUUAUCCGGAUUUAUUGGGCGUAAAGUGUGUGUAGGCGGUUUAUUAAGUCUAAGAUUAAAGCCUGAGGCAUAACCUCAGUUCGUUUUAGAAACUGGUAGACUUGAGUGUGGUAGAGGCAAGUGGAAUUUCUAGUGUAGCGGUUAAAUGCGUAGAUAUUAGAAGGGACACCAGUGGCGAAGGCGGCUUGCUGGGCCAUUACUGACGCUGAGACACGAAAGCGUGGGGAGCAAAUA
rnacentral:rRNA from 1 species